UGAAACUGGUUGUAGCAUAACUAAUUUUCUUUUGUGUAUUAUAGUGUGAAGUGAACUGUUCUAUGUAUGUUAGCAUUGACUUAACUUCGUGUUUCCACUGCAGAAGGCAUUCCUAGGAAAUCGCACACUCAGCAAUCUUUUUUCAAAGCGUGUUGGUUGAAGAUAUGCCGGUGUAUUCUUUUCAGAGUUUUCGAUAAUUUCAUAAUCGCUGAAAUAAAAAAAAUAAACAAGAAAUUAUGGAAAAUUA